rnacentral:rRNA from 1 species
GACGAACGCUGGCGGCGUGCUUAACACAUGCAAGUCGAACGAAGUGGCGAACGGGUGAGUAACGCGUAAUCAACCUGCCCUUCAGAGGGGGACAACAGAUGGAAACGACUGCUAAUACCGCAUCCUGAAGGAGGGGAUUGCGUCGGAUUAGCUAGUUGGAGGGGUAACGGCGCACCAAGGCGAGGACCAGUAGCCGGGCUGAGAGGAUGAACGGCCACAUUGGGAUUGAGACACGGUCCAGACUCCCACGGGAGGCAGCAGUGGGGAAUAUUGGACAAUGGGCGAAAGCCUGAUCCAGCCAUGCCGCGUGUGUGAAGAAGGUCUUCGGAUUGUAAAGCACUUUAAGUUGGGAGGCGUUACCAACAGAAUAAGCACCGGCUAACUUCGUGCCAGCAGCCGCGGUAAUUC